GACGAACGCUGGCGGCGUGCUUAACACAUGCAAGUCGAGCGGUAAGGCCCUUUCGGGGGUACACGAGCGGCGAACGGGUGAGGAAUACAUGGGUAACCUACCCUCGAGUGGGGAAUAACUAGCCGAAAGGUUAGCUAAUACCGCGUACGCUUCUUGGACUUCGGUUCAGGGAGGAAAGCGAUGCCGAGGGUAUCGCGCUCUUGGAUGGGCUCAUGUCCUACCAGCUUGUUGGUGAGGUAACGGCNCACCAAGGCUUCGACGGGUAGCUGGUCUGAGAGGACGAUCAGCCACACUGGCACUGCGACACGGGCCAGACUCCUACGGGAGGCAGCAGUAA
rnacentral:rRNA from 1 species